GACGAACGCUGGCGGCAGGCCUAACACAUGCAAGUCGAGCGGGGAGCAAUCCCUAGCGGCGGACGGGUUAGUAACGCGUGGGAACAUACCUUUGGUACGGAAUAGCCUCGGGAAACUGAGAGUAAUACCGUAUGUGCCCUUCGGGGAAGAUUAUCGCCAAAGGAUUGGCCCGCGUUGGAUUAGGUAGUUGGUGGGGUAAUGGCCUACCAAGCCUACGACCCAUAGCUGGUUUGAGAGGAUGAUCAGCAACACUGGGACUGAGACACGGCCCAGACUCCUACGGGAGGCAGCAGUGGGGAAUCUUAGACAAUGGGCGCAAGCCUGAUCUAGCCAUGCCGCGUGAGCGAUGAAGGCCUUAGGGUUUGUAAAGCUCUUUCAGAUGGGAAGAUAAUGACGGUACCAUCAGAAGAAGCCCCGGCUAACUCCGUGCCAGCAGCCGCGGUAAAGUGACUACUG
rnacentral:rRNA from 1 species